rnacentral:rRNA from 1 species
GAUGAACGCUGGCGGCGUGCCUAAUACAUGCAAGUCGAGCGAAUGGAUUAAGAGCUUGCUCUUAUGAAGUUAGCGGCGGACGGGUGAGUAACACGUGGGUAACCUGCCCAUAAGACUGGGAUAACUCCGGGAAACCGGGGCUAAUACCGGAUAACAUUUUGAACCGCAUGGUUCGAAAUUGAAAGGCGGCUUCGGCUGUCACUUAUGGAUGGCCCCGCGUCGCAUUAGCUAGUUGGUGAGGUAACGGCCCACCAAGGCAACGAUGCGUAGCCGACCGGAGAGGGUGAUCGGCCACACUGGGACUGAGACACGGCCCAGACGCCUACGGGAGGCAGCAGUAGGGAAUCUGCCGCAAUGGACGAAAGUCUGACGGAGCAACGCCGCGUGAGUGAUGAAGGCUUUCGGGUCGUAAAACUCUGUUGUUAGGGAAGAACAAGUGCUAGUUGAAUAAGUUGGCACCUUGACGGUACCUAACCAGAAAGCCACGGCUAACUACGUGCCAGCCGCCGCGGUAA